GAUGAAGAACGUAGCGAAAUGCGAUAAGUAAUGUGAAUUGCAGAAUUCAGUGAAUCAUCGAAUCUUUGAACGCGCAUUGCGCCCGCCAGUAUUCUGGUGGGCAUGCCUGUUCGAGCGUCAUUACAACCCUCAGGCCCCCGGGCCUGGCGUUGGGGAUCGGCGGAAGCCCCCUGUGGGCACACGCCGUCCCUCAAAUACAGUGGCGGUCCCGCCGCAGCUUCCAUUGCGUAGUAGCUAACACCUCGCAACUGGAGAGCGGCGCGGCCAUGCCGUAAAACACCCAACUUCUGAAUGUUGACCUCGAAUCAGGUAGGAAUACCCGCUGAACUUAAGCAUAUCAAUAAGCGGAGGA
rnacentral:misc_RNA from 1 species